rnacentral:lncRNA from 1 species
GGCGAAGAGAAAAAAACAACGUAGCAAUUUCGAUAACUGCUACUUAAAUGGUUUUCCUAGAAUCAAAUCCAAUUUACUUUAAAAAAAAAAAAACCCAAAAUGUUCAUAUUAAACAAAAAUAGUCCAUACUACUUAAAUAAAAAAUAUAAAAUCUAAGAUCCAAAGUUGCCGUCCAGUCUAAGUUAGAGGAUCUCAUGAUUGCUGAAACGAUGAAACUCACAAUUAAUGUGCUCUGAAUCUCUUCACAAACAGCAAACAAAUACGACGAUUACACUUCGGGAGGGUCUUGAUUCACAACCCCUUCGCACUAUUAUUUGCCUUACGAUCAAAAUAGAGACCCAACGCAAUAUCCAAACGAAACCAGCAACAAAGGCUUCCAAAACAAAAAGAAAAUAGAAGAAAGAACAAGAACAAGAACCGUAAAGGAAAGAAUAAACACAGAGCACAGGAAAGGGUGAAAAAAAAAAACGUCAAAGCAAGAAAGGGGAGUGGGGUUCUGACGGUUGCAAAAGAAAAGGGAUAGGGAUUUGGUCAACAAUUAAAACCCUAAGUAAAACUACAAGAUUUAAAUUCAAAACUAAAGAAUAAACAAAUGUUUAAUCAUUCAACUACUAAGUUCAUCGUUAUCACAAUUCAACAAAGAAAAUAAUUUAAGCUCUAAAGCCAAAUAGAUAGGAAAAAUUCAAAACAAGGGAGUUGAACUCAAUAGCUUAAGCAUACUUCCAAAGCAUUUAACAAACACACCAUAUCAAAUUAUUGAACAUGUAUGCUCAAAUUAGAACAAAAAAAAGAUUGAGGUGUUACAGGCCAUGCAAUAAAAAUCUUGGUUAAAAUAUGUAUUAUAGUUAAAACUACAAUUUACUUGUGUUAUACUCACCAAUGAGGACAUGUGGCAGUACGUAGUAUUAUUUGAGGAACGUAGUUCACCCGCUACAAAACCAAGAUCACCAAAAGCUUUACUUCUUAGCUCAACUUGGUCGAGCAAGAGGUAACUGUUCAAGGCAACUAGCCACCGACUCCUAGAAUGUAGCUACCACUUAUUCCUCUAGGCACCCAACAACUUUCAAUCUCUCUAUUCUCUAGCUCUUUGUCCAGGAAGAA